CGACUCUCGGCAAUGGAUAUCUCGGCUCUUGCAUCGAUGAAGAACGUAGCGAAAUGCGAUACUUGGUGUGAAUUGCAGAAUCCCGUGAACCAUCGAGUCUUUGAACGCAAGUUGCGCCCAAGGCCAUUAGGCUGAGGGCACGUCUGCCUGGGCGUCAUGCACAACGUCGUUCCACCCAUCAUAUCUCUCACCCUAUCCGGUUAAGGAAUUGAUGUAUGGAAGUGUACAUUGGCCCCCCGUGCCUUACAGGUGUGGUCGGCUCAAAAUUUGGCCCUCGGGGAUGAGCGUCACGAUCAGUGGUGGUUUAAAAACCCCUUUGUCAUUGACCGGAAUUGUAUUGACUCACUCCAUAUCAGGCUAUGUGGACCCUUGUUUGUCGUUAGCACGCCAUUCACUUUGCGACCCCAGGUCAGGCGGGAUUACCCGCUGAAUUUAAGCAUAUCAAUAAGCGGAGGAGAAGAAACUUACAAGGAUUCCCCUAGUAACGGCGAGCGAACCGGGAUCAGCCCAGCUUGGGAAUCAGAUGGCUAUGUUAUCUGAAUUGUAGUCUGUAGAAGCGUCCUCAG
rnacentral:rRNA from 1 species